UAAUAAGUGUUUUAUGGCACUUUUUAAAUCCAUAUCCACCUUGUGUGCAAUGUCAGUCGGUUUUUCUUUUUCGUCAAGAAAAAAAAGGAUCGACCAAACAUCAACUUAUUCUAAUUGAACUUUUGUCUGAAAACUAUUAUGAAUAAAACUAAUUCAAAAUACAACUUUCAAACAACGGAUCUCUUGGCUCUCGCAUCGAUGAAGAACGCAGCGAAAUGCGAUACGUAAUGUGAAUUGCAGAAUUCAGUGAAUCAUCGAAUCUUUGAACGCAUAUUGCGCUCUUUGGUAUUCCGAAGAGCAUGCUUGUUUGAGUAUCAGUAAACACCUCAAAACUCUUGAUCUUUUUCAAGCGUUUUGGACUUGAGCAAACCCAACGCCUUUUCUUUUAAGAUCUGUUGCGGCGGGUUGCUUGAAAUGCAGGUGCAGCUGGACAAUCUCCUGAGCUAAAAAGCAUAUUUAUUUAGUCCCGUCAAACGGAUUAUUACUUUUUGCUGCAGCUAACAUAAAGGGAGUUUUGACCAUUAUGGCUGACUGAUGCAGGAUUUCACAGAGAAAAGGCCGGCAACGGUUUUUGUCUCUGUCAAACUCGAUCUCAAAUCAAGUAAGACUACCCGCUGAACUUAAGCAUAUCAAUAAGCGGAGGAUCGCCUUCUUGGUCAUUUAGAGGAAGUAAAAAGUUCGUAACAAGGUUCUCCGUUGGUGAACCAGCGGAGGGAUCAUUACCGAGUUAUACAACUCAUCAACCCUGUGAACAUACCUAAAAACGUUGCUUCGGCGGGAACAGACGGCCCUGUAACAACGGGCCGCCCCCGCCAGAGGACCCCUAACUCUGUUUUUAUAAUGUUUUUUCUGAGUAAACAAGCAAAUAAAUUA
rnacentral:misc_RNA from 1 species